rnacentral:rRNA from 1 species
UACAGAGGUCCCAAGCGUUGUUCGGAUUCGCUGGGCGUAAAGGGUGCGUAGGCGGUCGGGUAAGUCUGAUGUGAAAUCUCACAGCUUAACUGUGAAACUGCAUUGGAUACUAUUCGGCUUGAGAGUUGGAGGGGGGACUGGAAUUCUUGGUGUAGCAGUGAAAUGCGUAGAUAUCAAGAGGAACACCAGUGGCGAAGGCGAGUCCCUGGACAACUUCUGACGCUGAGGCACGAAAGCUAGGGGAGCAAACAGG